rnacentral:rRNA from 1 species
UACGUAGGUGGCAAGCGUUGUCCGGAUUUACUGGGUGUAAAGGGCGUGUAGCCGGGCUUACAAGUCAGAUGUGAAAUCCGGGGGCUCAACCCCCGAACUGCAUUUGAAACUGUAGGUCUUGAGUAUCGGAGAGGCAGGCGGAAUUCCUAGUGUAGCGGUGAAAUGCGUAGAUAUUAGGAGGAACACCAGUGGCGAAGGCGACUUACUGGACUGUAACUGACGCUGAGGCAUGAGAGCAUGGGGAGCAAACAGG